rnacentral:rRNA from 12 species
GUGGACGCCAGUCUGCAUGGAGCCGACCUUGAAAUACCACCCUUUAAUGUUUGAUGUUCUAACGUGGACCCGUUACCCGGGUUGCGGACAGUGUCUGGUGGGUAGUUUGACUGGGGCGGUCUCCUCCUAAAGAGUAACGGAGGAGCACGAAGGUUGGCUAAUCCUGGUCGGACAUCAGGAGGUUAGUGCAAUGGCAUAAGCCAGCUUGACUGCGAGCGUGACGGCGCGAGCAGGUGCGAAAGCAGGUCAUAGUGAUCCGGUGGUUCUGAAUGGAAGGGCCAUCGCUCAACGGAUAAAAGGUACUCCGGGGAUAACAGGCUGAUACCGCCCAAGAGUUCAUAUCGACGGCGGUGUUUGGCACCUCGAUGUCGGCUCAUCACAUCCUGGGGCUGAAGUAGGUCCCAAGGGUAUGGCUGUUCGCCAUUUAAAGUGGUACGCGAGCUGGGUUUAGAACGUCGUGAGACAGUUCGGUCCCUAUCUGCCGUGGGCGCUGGAGAACUGAGGGGGGCUGCUCCUAGUACGAGAGGACCGGAGUGGACGCAUCACUGGUGUUCGGGUUGUCAUGCCAAUGGCACUGCCCGGUAGCUAAAUGCGGAAGAGAUAAGUGCUGAAAGCAUCUAAGCACGAAACUUGCCCCGA